rnacentral:rRNA from 1 species
CUAGGCUUGACAUGCAUCUCUAAGCGCGUGAAAGCGCGUGACCCUUCGGGGGAUUUGCACAGGUGCUGCAUGGCCGUCGUCAGCUCGUGUCGUGAGAUGUUGGGUUAACCCGCAACGAGCGCAACCCUUGUGAUUAGUUGCCAGCGGUUCGGCCGGGGACUCUAGUCAGACUGCCCAGAUCAACUGGGAGGAAGGUGGGGACGACGUCAGGUCAGUAUGGCCCUUACGCCUAGGGCUGCACACGUACUACAAUGCCCAGCACAAUGAGAACCGAGACCGCGAGGUGGAGGAAAUCUGUAAAACUGGGCUCAGUUCGGAUUGGAGGCUGCAACUCGCCUCCA